ensembl:lncRNA
AAGAAAUUAUAAAUCUUUGGUUUUCCAUCUCCGCACAGACACAAAAUACCUUAUCACACUGCCUCAUAAAGAUUUUAAGUGUGAUCUUAAUCCUUGAAACCUCCUUCAUCUUCAAAGAACAACAAGACUUUGAGACAGAUAUGUGGGAAUUCACUUAGCCAAGUCCUGCAAUUGUAGUUCUUCUGCAGUGAUCUGCAAACCACAGACUCUGAAAUGAGCAAGGGGUUAUGUGAAUGUUCCAUGUAAGUAUUUAUUUUUAUUUUCUUUAGCAGAAGCUGUCAAAUAAAGCAUCUCCUGCCCUUCCGAGCUUUUGCAGUCUGUGCAGAGCUUCUGCGAGCCAGAGCUUUGCUUAGUACAUUUAAUUAGAGUUUACUUAUUAUGACAGCGCAAAAUACAAGCUCAUUUUAGUCUCGGGAUUGAACUUUGCUGCAUUUUAUUCUUGGUUAGCAUCAGUUGCUUCAUAGUAUUGUCAAGGAGGCUUGUGAGAUCUGGGCAUGCCUGGUGCAGGAGAGGUUAGCAGGUUUAACAAGAAGGCAUUAAAAAAUGUAUUUAAUGGAAUAGCAGCCUGAACUUCAGUAUGUAGCUUAAUUUUAGCAUUGCCCCAGGGUGAGUACUCAAUUUUGACUUUUAAUUUUUUUUCAUUCUAGACUAAACGAAACAGAUGCCUCUCGGUAGACUUCUUUGGUAAACACACAGAGAAUCCUCCAUCCAAUUUUCUUCUCUGGUCAGUUUUGGAAGAGGUGCAAUGCUGAAAAUAUGAAACUUCCUUCAUGAAGGUGACAAAGAUGUUUGGCCCAGGUGCUCUCGACUAAUUGGAGGCAUUUGACCUACCAAGCCUAAAGGAGCCUUCUCACCCAUUAUUAGCUGUCUGAAACUUGGUCUGCUGCAGCUCUAAAUCAACACUGUCUUCUUUUCUUUGCCGGUAGAGAGACAACAGGAACUUCCAGAGGGCAAUUCAGCCCAUCCUAAAACAUGUGGGAAAACAGUCUCCUGCACAUGCUGGUUGUGUCUCUGUAUGCAAAGGGAGACUGAAGCCCUAUGUCCAAAUAGAAACCUGAUUUUUGUUGGCUUGUUGGCCUGAGAUGAAUGUUACCCCCUGUAAGCCAUAUCACUCCCACAGGAGGAAAGAUAACCUGUUUCCCCCAGAGCUCUGCCAGUUCUUGAAAUCUCUCUCUUGGACCUACUGUUCUUCUGAAUAUGGCAAUCUAUAAAUGAUACCAUUUGAGACACAAAACAUUAUGACUUACCGAUAUUUUUUAAUUUUGGAUGGCAAGAUGUACUCUGUAUCAACAGGAAAACAGUGUGCUGUGACUACCAAGCAUGGACACUCAUACACAUGGACUUAACGUAGUGGGCUGCUCUUAUUUUGAAAACUAAAUGAAUCAUAAUGAAUUGUCACUUCCCAUAAAAGUGCUCCACAGAAGAGGUCUUGCCCACAUUGGUCCAAGGCAUGUGGGCGCAAUUAUGCCACCAUCUUCUGAUGUACAGAUGGAUGUAUCAGUUUCAUUCAGGUGUCCUGAAAGAUUGGGCUGUGAGAACUACUGUGCUAGGACACCUGUUUACUUUAGUUCCACCGCUGCAGGUCUGGCUUCAGUCAGAAGAUUGCUCAUGGAAUGGACUCUCUGGUCUGGAGUAGAGAAGUGUUACCCCCUAACGCUUUUCUAGGGUAGCCAGUGGCUGGUGGUUAAAACAGGAAACUCAAUGUAAACUGCUUAUCAUUGACAGCAUCCCGGUGCUGGGGGUCCAUUUCCGAGGCUUUGAAGUGGCCAAACUCUCACCUCAUCUCAUACACAUGGAAAUCAGAUCACCAGGAGAAGGAGCAAGCUUGUAAAUCCCAUGAAGAAGCCAACAGGGCAAGUUAGGAAAUGGUGACCUUCAGUGUAUUAACAGUCGAGUGAAGAGCUCUGUGCUGCCGAAGAGGCUGCAGUAAAAAUGGAGAAGAGGUUGGUAGGUCAAUCCAUUUCUCUCUUUCAAGAGUGAGAUAGCGGGGCUGGCUGACACAUACCAGAGAGCCCUUUGAGCUUGCCUUCCUCACAUUUCAAGAAAAGGAGUUUAUCAGACCUGUGAUGUCUGAGAUAGAUCCUGUCCUGAGCUGAAGCGCACCAUCUACCACAAGCAAGAAAGGCCAUGCCCAUGACGUAUAACUAUGUGUACUCUUGAGCCUAUUACCUAAUAGAGACGCAAGAAAAUGGCCCAUCUGUUUGCAGUGGGCAAAUGUCAAUCUGGUGGCCAUCAACACCUUGCUGAUAAACUGGAAAUCCUCACCUUCUUCCAUCCUCUCCUUCCAAACGACCCAUGAAAGAGCCCCGGAGAUCAAAGAAAUCCUCUUCCAUCCUUAUCCUUCUGACAGAGGGACUGGUGGGAUUUAGCACCCAUGUGGGAAUGCUUCAUCUUGAAUUCGCAUUCACAAACGCAGCAACCCGGGGGCCUUUUCACAGCACCUUAAGCAGACUGAAGUGGAGCUGGCGCAUAAUCAGCGACGGAACAGCUGUUAUCCAGAGAUAACAGAGGCUGCAGAUGUGCAUGGGGUCAAGGGAGACAAUGCCAUCCCAGGACUGCUGAUUAUUCCUUCUCCUUGGUAGACCAAGCUCACCCACAAAAAACGUGAGAGGCUUCUAAACUUCAGCCAAAUAGACAUCCCAGGCUCUUUGCUUCCAGGAACGGAAAACUGAAGAUAACACAAGAUGGCCAUCUCACCUGCUCCAGUGCUCCGACCAGAUAGCAAUGGCACACAGCAGCGAGGGAACGUGCAACCCCGGUGCCUGCUACUGUACCUCCUCCAUGACUGCAAACAACCUGAACACUCAAAUCACUUUGUGUUUCUCCUACUCAUUUGGCAUCCAUCAAAAGCAUUAAAUUCAUUCAAGUGCUUGGGACGCUGAGCUCCUUUCCUGCCCAUCCGUCUCGAGAGCAGAUGUUCCCAUCUUACACAGCCCAACAGCGGCACCAAGCGGACCUUGGGAAACAGCUGUUCAAGUUCCCCCCCACUGGAUUUCCUAACCACUCCCAGAGUCAUAUUAAACGCAGUACCUGUUUUACUGCUGAAGUUGAAGCAGUUACCUACUACCGGUACGGCCUAAAAAGCCUGAAACUACCAUCUCUCAUGAAGGUUUGCCAGAGCUAGGAAAAACGCAUGACAUGUAAAACGCUGUAUUACUGCAGUUUGGCCAUCUUUGAACAGCUCACCAAUUUGCAACAGGCUCCAAUACUUCUGCAAAAUUACUUUUUGUAAAGACCAAGCACACAACCUCAAGCAAAAAGACAGUUUAUAAGACUCUCUCUGCGUGGCUACAUAUCUGAAAAGAUUCCCAUAAGAGAGAAGAUUGUUUUGCUCUUGAUUACACGUCCCUGCUUUUCUGAAGGUCCAAGCACUAAAGCCAAUUUCCAGGAAUCCAACUAGCAGUCCGCGCUUGAUGCAAUUUCCCAAGAAUCAAAGGCAGUAGUAGGAAAAAGCCCAACCCUCCCCCCCCCCCCAAACUUUCAACAUUAACGGGCUUCCAAGAAUCCCCAUACAAAUGUGUUUUCCAUCGGCAGCCAGAAAAAAGAUGCUGCUUCCUAGUUUGGACAUCAACUGAACAUAAACCUGUGGAGGUGAGCCAAGAUGCAGCGUUCAGAACUAAACUCUGAAAGGUUUCACUUAAUGCCCUUCCUCUUUCUACAGAAAAAGUGGUUCCAGGCAGCAGGAGCACAGCUAAUACUUUUCUCACUAAACCAAGGCUGAACGGAAGUGUCAUCACCAAAGUUUGUUGAUAUAACAUUCAUAAAUCUACACUUCUCCACAUUGUAGCACAAGGCGCUACAGGAACAGCAUUAAGUUAACGUUGGAAUUAGAGUAAUAGAUUAGGAUGAGAUGAACCAAAAUGACUUCAACAAACCCUUAGCAUCAC